UUUCGAGAAGCACUUUCUAGGCGGAUCGGACCUGUCUAAGUUGCUUGGAACAGCACGUCAGAGAGGGUGACAACCCCGUCCGUGACGGGUCCGGCCGCUGACGAUGUGUUUUCGAAGAGUCGGGUUGUUUGGGAAUGCAGCCCAAAACGGGUGGUAAACUCCAUCUAAAGCUAAAUACAGGCACGAGACCGAUAGCGAACAAGUACCGUGAGGGAAAGAUGAAAAGAACUUUGAAAAGAGAGUUAAAAAGUACGUGAAACCGUUGAAAGGGAAACGAAUGGAGUUAGCAAUGCACCCUGCAAGAUUCAGCCGGCGGGCGGCGCGGACGGGCGGUUGGCGGAUCCGAAUGGACCGCCGUCGUCCGGCUCGCGUCCCCCUCCGUCGCACUUCUUGCGGGUGCGCGUCAACGUCGGUUCGGUCCCGGUUUGAAGGCUCGCGGUAAGGUAGGUCGGACUGCCCUCGGGCCGUCCUUCUGUUACAGACCGCGUCCCCAUGGCCGGGACCGGACCGAGGCGUCGCAGCGCAUGCCUCUUGUGGCUAGGGUCCCUUCGCGCCGGUCGGUUGUCGACCGCGGUGGACUGCUUGCAGUGCACCCGAACCGCUGCCGGUCGCCGCGGAGGUGACGUC
rnacentral:rRNA from 1 species